rnacentral:rRNA from 1 species
UACGAAGGGUGCGAGCGUUAAUCGGAAUUACUGGGCGUAAAGCGUGCGCAGGCGGUUUUGUAAGCCAGAUGUGAAAUCCCCGGGCUUAACCUGGGAAUGGCAUUUGGGACUGCAAGGCUUGAGUGCGGCAGAGGAGACUGGAAUUCCUGGUGUAGCAGUGAAAUGCGUAGAUAUCAGGAGGAACACCGAUGGCGAAGGCAGGUCUCUGGGCCGAUACUGACGCUGAGGAGCGAAAGCGUGGGGAGCAAACAGG